rnacentral:rRNA from 1 species
AUUGAACGCUGGCGGCAGGCCUAACACAUGCAAGUCGAGCGGAUGAAGUGUGCUUGCUCUUGCUUUCAGCGGCGGACUGGUUUGUAAUGCCUAGAAUUCUGCCUGGUUGUGGUGGAUAACGUCCGGAAACGGGUGCUAAUACCGCUUACUUCCUGCGGGUGAAAGUGGGUGUUCUUUGGACCUUACUUUAUCGAUUCAAUCUAGGUCGGAUUAGCUAGUUGGUGGGUUAAUGGCCUACCAAGUGAACUAUCGGCAACCGGUCUGAGAGGAUGAUAGGUGACACUGGAACUGAGACACGGUCAAGACUCCUACGGGAGGCAGAGGAGGGGAAUAUUGGACAAUGGGCGAAAGCCUGAUCCAGCAAUGCCGCGUGUGUGAAGAAGGUCUUCGGAUGGUAAAGCACGUUAAGUUGGGAGGAAGGGCAGUAAGUUAAUACGUUGCUGUUUUGACGUUACCAACAGAAAAAGCACCGGCUAACUUCGUG